rnacentral:tRNA from 1 species
GGAGAGAUAGGGUCCCUGGUGGGGUCAGCGGUCUUCAAAACCGUGUUGCGGGACGAUGUUCCGUGGGUAGGUUCGAUUCCUGCAUCUCUCCGCCA